UACGGGGGGAGCAAGCGUUGUUCGGAUUUACUGGGCGUAAAGGGCGCGUAGGCGGCCACGACAAGUCACUUGUGAAAUCUCCGGGCUUAACUCGGAAAGGUCAAGUGAUACUGUCGGGCUAGAGUACAGAAGGGGCAACUGGAAUUCUCGGUGUAGCGGUGAAAUGCGUAGAUAUCGAGAGGAACACCUGCGGCGAAGGCGGGUUGCUGGGCGGAUACUGACGCUGAUGCGCGAAAGCUAGGGGAGCGAAUGGG
rnacentral:rRNA from 1 species